GCUGCUGAAGGACCUUCUGAGGACGAGUGGCAAAUUGCUCUUCAAGAAACAAAGGCAGCAUUAUAAAACAAAACCUAGACGAAGGAAAUUAGUUGUCCAGUAAGAAUUUAAGCUGACAAAUUAACUGCAAUUGACUAUGCUUGAAUCAGCUUGUGCAGUCGGACUAUAAAAGCUGAAUAUGUAAACACCAUUUUUUUUUUCUAAACUUCCUUGGCAAAAUUACUCAAAUCUUAAGGUUUAGACACAUUCUCAUCAAGCUCUCUGCUAAAGGGUCAAUUAACUUAAAAAGUUUCUGUUUCAAGGUCUACAUCCAUACUCGUACUCCUACUAAAAACUCCGCUGAAAAUCAUGAAGUAAUAUGGCUUGCCUUUUUUUGAAAAGAAUGUGUAUAGCAAGAAUAAACAUUUAAUUAGACCACAUAAUCCAAGGCUAGACGCAGAUUUUUCUAAAAUUAAAACAAUAGACGGUGCAAAAUCUAAUAUGACCUUUCUUCAUAGAACUUAAGUUUGUAGGGAUCUUCCAAACAAACAAAAGAAGCGAAAAAUGCAUCAACAGAUGCAUCGGAAAAUUCUGAUGGAGAUAAUCCUCGACUGACUUGUUGCUUUGGAAAUGUAGUCUCUUGCAUUGGUCUUUUUGAAGACUAAUAGGACCAAUCAGAAAUCUAUCACCGUGGAAGCCAAGAUUACUGAUUCUUCUCCCAACCUUCCAACUCCAGAUAUCACCAGUAUUUGGCUAAUUUAUUGGAGCAUAUGGUAAGCCUUCUCCAGAUUCACGAAGAGAAACUGGCCUCAGACCAAGGGUGGAUCCAGUCUCCCAGUUCAAUGGGAUCAAUUGCGACUUGCAAAGGCUACUGAGGAUUUAGCCCAAGUUUAGCUGAAGCAAUUCUCUUAGACCGGCUAAACUUGAAUCGAUCGGCUUCAAAGUGUUGUGCCCCAGAUAGACCUGACCUCGUUUCCUCAAAUGGGUUUGAAUCAGUUGAUACACAAAUAACCCCAAUUAAAUUGCCAUUGUCAUCGUAGAAAGGAGUGGUGGCAAUGACUUCACCUUUCGCCUUUUUUGGUCUUAACCCGGAACUGCCAAAUCCAGCCCUCUCCCGUAAUCAACGUACGAUUUAAUAU
rnacentral:lncRNA from 1 species